rnacentral:rRNA from 1 species
UACGGAGGGGGCUAGCGUUGUUCGGAAUUACUGGGCGUAAAGCGCACGUAGGCGGCUUUGUAAGUUAGAGGUGAAAGCCUGAUGCUCAACAUCAGAAUUGCCUUUAAGACUGCAUCGCUUGAACGUCGGAGAGGUGAGUGGAAUUCCGAGUGUAGAGGUGAAAUUCGUAGAUAUUCGGAAGAACCACCAGUGGCGAAGGCGGCUCAC